rnacentral:rRNA from 1 species
UACGUAGGGGGCAAGCGUUGUUCGGAAUUACUGGGCGUAAAGGGCGCGUAGGCGGCACGGCAAGUCGGGAGUGAAAGGCCUGGGCUCAACCGAGGAACUGCUUUCGAGACUGCCGAGCUAGAGUGCGGAAGGGGCAACUGGAAUUCCCAGUGUAGCGGUGAAAUGCGUAGAUAUUCGGAAGAACACCAGUGGCGAAGGCGGCUCACUGGCCCGGUACUGACGCUGAGGUGCGAAAGCGUGGGGAGCAAACAGG